AUGGUCCCCGUCCUCGACUACCUCGGCAAGAUCGGCGUCCGCCGCGGCCGGAGCACCUGGCGGCGCACGCGCGGCUGGUCAAGUCGGCCGACGCGGACCCGUUCGUCGUCAGCACCGUCAUGCACGCCUACCUCCGCGCCUCGCUCCCGCUGUAGGCCCUGCUCGUCCUCCGCGGGCUCCUCCCGCGCGCGCCCCGCCUCCUCGCCAACUCCUUCUCCCUCUCCCUCGCCCUCCGCCGCGCUCGCCUCGUCCUCCGCCGCGACCCGGCCGCUCGGCGCCUCGCUCCACGCGCGCGCGGUCAGGUCCGGCUUCGCCGCCGCCGACCUCUUCGUGCGCACCGCGCUCGUCGAGAUGUACGCCAAGUCGGGCCGCGCGGAGCUCGCGCGCGUCGCGUUCGACGAGGCGCCCCGCCGGGACGUGUUCCUCUGCAACGUCAUGCUCGUGUCCUACGUCGCGCGCGGCGAGGUGCCGGAGGCGAGGAGGGUGUUCGACGGAAUGCGGGACAGGGACCUGGUGUCCUGGAACACGAUGAUCCACGGGUACGCCGUGAGAGGGGACGUCGGCAUGGCGAGGGAGAUAUUCGACGCGACAAGCGACAGGGACGCCUUCUCGUGGAGCUCGAUGAUCUCCGCGUAUGCCAAGGGCCGUCGGUCCAAGGAUGCGAGCGGCGCGCGUCGCUCCAGACUGCAUCACCAUGGUCAGCGUGCUCUCGGCGUGCAGCGACAUGGGGGCGCUGACCAUUGGCGCAGAGGUACACUAGUUUGUCGAGAGCCACAGGGUUGA
rnacentral:rRNA from 1 species